UCGACUACUCUAACAGGUAGUAAGGACUGCGCCAUGUUGGCGACCAUUCAUUGAACUCUUUCCAGGUGUACUCGUAUCCCAGAUCAAAUGUGGUACCAUGUUUAUUCAUCUUGAUAGGCUUAGCGAUCCCUUUGGAGAUUCUUGUCGAGUCCUUUGCCUGGUGCAUAACCUCACCAGUUCAAUAUGCUUUCAAUUUUUUUGUACGACCACUUGUCCUUAUCAAUGGAGUUAACUCGCUCGAUGUGGUGAGAUGUCUCCUCACCUAUCUUUCUUCUUCCUUCGAUUGCUGGGAUGGUUUGGCCACUGUAUAUGGGAUUUUUACCGUCAUCGUGAAUGAUCACCUCUUAGUGAUUCCACUCAAACUUCAGUGCCUGAUGUAAUGUUGAUGCUACAGCUCCAACUGCAUGAAUCCAUGCCCGUCCCAAUAGCAAGUUGUAAGCCGCCGAACUUUUAUUACUUGAAAGUUAACAUCGAACAAAGUAGGCCCCUUCUGUAAACACAAGUUACUCUCCCAAUAGUGGACCUUCCGGAACCGUCGAAGGCUUUGACAUUGAUGGUCCCGUCUUUGAUCUCAUGCAGGCCCUUCCCCAAUGUCCUUAGUGUUACCAACGGACAAAUAUUGAGAUUGGACCCUCCAUCGAUCAAGACCCUAGUGAUAAAAUAAUCUUUGUAUUGCACGGUGAUGCACAGCGCCUUGUUGUGGCUCAACCCUUCUG
rnacentral:lncRNA from 1 species